AUGCGCCUACGGGGGGCAGCAGUGGGGGAUAUUGCACAAUGGGGGAAACCCUGAUGCAGCGACGCCGCGUGGGCGAAGAAGUAUUUCGUGAUGUAAAGCUCUAUCAGCAGGGAAGAAAAUGACGGUACCUGAGUAAGAAGCCCCGGCUAACUACGUGCCAGCAGCCGCGGUAAUACGUAGGGGGCAAGCGUUAUCCGGAUUUACUGGGUGUAAAGGGAGCGUAGACGGCCAGACAAGUCUGAAGUGAAAAUCCAGCGCUUAACGUUGGAAGUGCUUUGGACACUGCCGGGCUAGAGUGCAGGAGG
rnacentral:rRNA from 1 species